rnacentral:lncRNA from 10 species
GUACUGCAUUGAACCGCAUUGGUCUUUUAUUUUUUGAAAGCUUUCCAGAAUAUUAUCUUCUCUGGUUUAUAAUUUUUCCCUCACCUACUAGUUGAAUAACAGUUAAAAGGUCACAUCUUUCUCAUCCCAUCACCAAAGUAAACAUUUCUCCAAUUACCCAUGAAGGGCAAAUGCUUCCAAGGAAUUAUUUAUUGUUUAUUAACAAAAGGCAAAGGCUGUAAGAGAAGGCUCUGUGUCACACAUAUGAAUACUUGGCAGUAACAUUUAAGUAUCCCUAAGCUUAAAAAAAAAUAGAUAUCAUACCACAUUUACUGUAUUUCUAAGAAUUUGUUAGCCAACUGCCUGCUAAAGUGUAUCUAGAGUGGUUCUGAAGAGCUACUUCUUGGAAGUAUCACCUUCACAAUUCACUUGUUUUACAUAUGUCUAUUGCCUGGCUCUAUUAUAGACACCGGAAAUAUGCAGUAAACAAAAGAGACAAAAAUCCCUGUACUCUACAGCUGUGAAAAGAAAGUCUCAGUUUCUUUAACAGCUCCAGCUUAUUAGAAGUAAAUACAGUACAUAAGUGAUUACUUGACUCCAAAGAAAUCCAGGCUUUCGCAGUCAGACUGUAAACUUUCUGACCAGUACCCUUUUGGAAGGAAGCACUGAGAGGCAUCCUCUCCAAACUCCUCCUCCGCCCAGAUCAGUGUUUGUUAAACUCUUCAAUAUUUUAUUGUAACUGUAGAUGGCCCAUUUCUGGACAAACACCGUCUGGGUCCCUGGAAUUAUUUUCUUAUAUACGGCACUUUGUCAGGUUUACCUGAUUGUCCACAUGCAACAACCGUUCUUUAAGCUUCUCUGAUACAAGAAAAAGUCAUUUUAAGUAAUUGAAAUUGUAUCAAGUUAAGUAAGGAAAUAUUCUGACUUUGUUGUACCUAGGUUGGUCAUGUAACUACAAUGCUAUGGAAUGGCUAGAUUAGGGAGUAAACUGGGAGAAGCCCAGGAAGUCCCAUCUAUACAACUCCCCUCUCCUUUCCCCUCAAUUUAUCUCUUCCACUCAGAUGCCUCACCGCAAGAAACAAAUCCACCAUAGGACUGGUUAUUACUCUGUACAGAAUUGCCUUCUCCAGGUAUCAUUGUUCGUAUAUGUAGACACCUCUUAGAGGGAUAUCAGAUUCUGCUAACAGUCACUGCAUCUGGAAGACUGAAGGAAACUAACACGAAAUAGUUUGAAUUGUGUGGUAGGCGCUUUACAUGUUACAUUGAUUAAUUCCUACAACACUCUCUAUGAGUAGGUUUUCUCAUGUUAUAGAUGAGCAAUCCAGGAUUCAGGGAGGCUCAAUGAUAAGCCCCCAGAUCACACACCCUUCCAGGGCUGCAGCCAAUAGUCAAAUGUAGCCUUUUUCUCCCUUAGUCUGCAUAUGUUUAUCGAAUUCCUCACCUCUGUGGCACACAAAACCUAAAGAUAGCCUCAAGAGUGAUGACUGCCUGGCAAGGGGGUUGAAAGUGGGGGAAAGAACAGAGACAUGAAAUGAGAGACAAAAAGGAAGCAACUUGCUGACAUUACAGUUUUCUCUGAGGUCAGAUCCAGCGCAGAGCUACAUUCUUACUGCUUUGAUAAAAUUCCUGAUUCUCAGAAAUACUGACUCGGCAGGACCUUAGAGGUCAUGUAGCCCAACCCACCAUUAAAAGCUUUAUUCAGUCAUUAACUCACUUUAUUACUGUUGGUGAUCUGGGAAGUAGUGUCACUGACUUGGCAAGUGAGCACAUUUCUCUGAACCACAGUUUUCCACUAUCUCAUCGUGGGCUUGUCUAGAGAGAUUUGACUUUAAAUAAUAAGAAUUCUUUACAUCUAUUUUGCUUUUCACAAUUGUCAAAAUGCUUUCGUUCAUAUACCCUAUGCCCUUUAAACUCUCGUUUCUGUGAUAAAGAGGGGCGAGUACAUUUUAUGGUGGGAAAAACUGGGAGCUAGACCAGAUUGAUCUGGGUUCAAACUUCCACUUUGCAAUAUACCAGCCACGUGAACUUGGGCAGACCAUUUACUCUCUUUAAGCUUCCUUAGGUAGGUUGCCUUUUUCUUUAUGCCUCCAAGUUCUCAUCAGUAAACUGGGGGUCAAUAAUACUUCCCACGCAUGGUUGAACUAAGGAUUAAGAGAGGUUACAUAUGUAAUGUGUGUGCACAGGGAAGGCACUCAGGGUUGGUUGCUUUUCUCUUUCCUUUUCUUUUUACAGCUGAAAACUAGAGAAGAGGUAAAGCAAUGCUUCCCAGAUAAAACUGCCAGUGAUUGGUGAACUGAGGCCAAGCCUUUUUACUGCGACUCUAGGCUCUUUGUACUACACCAUCCUAUCUGGAAUAACUUUCUUUUCCUUCUUUACUCUUUUGAUUUGUACACACCUUACCCUUUUUAGCUAACUUCACUGUAGUGCAAACUCUUCACUCCCUUUCUCUACUCUAGGCCUUCUGCUUCGCUGUUUCUUCUUCUCGUGGUGCUGUCCUCCUGCUAGUUUCUGUGCAUAUUGCCUCUUGCUAGUUUCCUGUGUGUUUUAUAUGCUCAUUGGAAGUUUAAGACAAAUGAACAAGAUGCUUUCAUCCAUUUCCCUCAAAUGCAAAAUCUGGUUCUCAUAUGAAAGACCGAGCAGCUGUGGUGGCAUCCAGGCAGAUGGGCUCUGAGUUCCCUGGCUUCUGGUGCCCGGGUGUGACGUGCUGCGGCUGCCUUCCGGAUUUUGAUGACUGCUCCCCUGGCCCUGCAGCUUCCCCAACACUCCUCUAACAAACUCUGAUUUAAACAGCCCUACAUUCAGCCUUUCACAUACCCUUGUAACACACAGAACUGGUGCAGCCCAUUGGGAGCUCAAAUGAAUCACUGCUGAAGGAAUUGGUGUUGUUAAAGAGGUCAUUCUUCCAAGGCUAUACAGAAAUACAGGCAACUCUUCUAAAACUAUCUUUAUUUAGGUCAUUCAAAAUGCAUAGUCACAAUGUCAAACUGGAGUGAAAAAUAAAUGUGGAGGCAAGCAGACUUAUAAUACAGCAUGCACACAUAUUUGUGCAGAACGCAUAAUAAAAAGAUACUUGUCACUCAUUUCCUUUAUCAUAAAUUCAAGUAGUACAAUUGGAAUAUUACCCAGCCCAGAGAAAAUAUAGUAUCACAGAUCUGAGAAAAUUCUCAAGAGAUCAUCUUGUCAACCUACCUAUUUCUCUCUAAGCAGAGGAUAUGUCUAAACUAAUCAGAAUCGAGAGUUAAUGUUCUCUUAUUGAAAAUUUCUAUUCCCCUAUGAAGCCUAUUUACAUAUCUGAAAUUGUUUUCUUACCACCACACGACAAUCUCUUGGGAAGUCUCACAAAUAAGUGGGAUCAUAUUUGUUUUCCUUCCUGAGGAAGGCUCUAGGGAUACGAUCUUAGAAAGCUUGUCAAGAAACCCUAUGUCACAUCCCUAUUCUAUCUGUUGCAGGCUGCCCCUCUCCUUGCCCUAGUGGGUGUUCAGGUGCUCGCCCAACCAGCCCCGUUGGUGCAAGGCUGAGCCCAUACUAAUACCUCUUGUCUGCAGGACCACUGGUGAGUUCUAAGGAUCCUAGUUUUCUGGGAGGGCAGAACAAAAAUAAAUCUAGCGGGCUGGGCACAGUGGCUCACACCUGCUAUCCCAGUACUUUGCGAGGCCGAGGCAAGAGGCUUGCUUGAGCUCAGGAGUUUGCGACCAGCCUGGGCAACAUGGCAAAACCCCAUCUCUACAAAAAAAAAACAAAAAUUCUCUAGGUGUGGUGGCACACACCUGUAGUUCCAGCUACUCGGGAGGCUGAGGUGGGAGGAUUGUUUUAGCCAGGGAGGUUGAGGCUACAGUGAGCUGUGAUAGCACUACUGCACUCCAGCCUGGGUGACAGAGAGAGACCCCAUCUCAAAAAAUAAAUAAGUAAAUAGAUAAAUCUGGCUGUUGGCAAGGUUUCUAUGCUUCUGCUGGGCUGCUACUAGAGCUAGGACUCUCACAGCCCAUUGCAAACCAGCUUCACUCUUACCCUUUGUCCCCCUCCUCCCCAAAGCCCUGGCCAAGCCCUCAAGCAAUGCAAGAAGGGAAAGGACAAACUCCCCACUGAGCAAUAGAGCCGGUCCCCUGGAUCCCACUGCUUUCAGGACAGUGUGCCUCUCCCACACCCCCCUCCUUUCUCAUGCUGGCGUCUUCUCAGCUGAGCAAGGCAAGACCAUCAAAUCAAGUCACAUCAAAUCAAAUCAAAGAGAAGAAAGCAAUACUGCAGACCACGUGUUGGAGCGUGAGAACACAAGGAGCCUCUUCUGUGCCCUGCCUGACCACCUGCCACACUUUUAACUUCUUUACACAGUUGCCAGGACUUAUUUGAAAGGGUGGCUCAAGUUUAUCUCCUUUCCCUGGAUUCCCAUCUCUCCAGAAAAAUCCAGAGUGACAGUAACAUAACCUUUGUGGAGAAACAAAAUAUCAAUAUUUUCCUCAAACACUUUUAAAAUAUGCUUAUCAACAACUGCAGGAAAGAGGGAAUAACAGUCUGCCUAAAUACCUGGCUUAAUCAUUUUGCGAGCCAAUUAUGGAAAAAGAAAUCUAAUUUUACUUUUAUCAAGAAGAACAAAAAGGAAGUCAUUAGGUCUGCCUUCAUCUUCAUCUUCAUGAGACAGGCACUAGCCUAUGUGUGUCCUCUAUUUUCCUGAAUUGUUCUUUUCUCAACCAAUUACUGCAUCCCCUUGGAGUCCCCCCACCCCCACCUCCAACUGCCUAUAAAAGCAGGCUAGAAGCCAGGGUUUCCCUGUAAAUACUGAAAUUGUUCUUCCAUUUUGCCAUUACACAUUAUGCUUUAACCAAAUAAAGCAUGUCUGCUGAGGACACUGGAGCCUCUUCCGAGAUAGUUUAUUUUCCUAUGACCUGCGAGCUUCUUUCUUCCUGAUGAAUCAGCACCGCCG